rnacentral:rRNA from 1 species
AGAUUGAACGCUAGCGGGAUGCUUUACACAUGCAAGUCGAACGGCAGCGCGGACUUCGGUCUGGCGGCGAGUGGCGAACGGGUGAGUAAUAUAUCGGAACGUGCCCAGUAGCGGGGAAUAACUACGCGAAAGCGUGGCUAAUACCGCAUACGCCCUACGGGGGAAAGGGGGGAUUCUUCGGAACCUCUCACUAUUGGAGCGGCCGAUAUCAGAUUAGCUAGUUGGUGAGGUAAAGGCUCACCAAGGCGACGAUCUGUAGCUGGUUUGAGAGGAACGACCAGCCACACUGGGACUGAGACACGGCCCAGACUCCUACGGGAGGCAGCAGUGGGGAAUUUGGACAAGUGGGGAAACCUGAUCCAGCCAUCCCGCGUGUGCGAUGAAG